rnacentral:rRNA from 1 species
UGGCGGACGGGUGAGUAACGCGUGGAAAACCUGCCGUAUACUGGGGGAUAACACUUAGAAAUAGGUGCUAAUACCGCAUAAGCGCACAGCUUCGCAUGAAGCGGUGUGAAAAACUCUGGUGGUGUACGAUGGUUUCGCGUCUGAUUAGCUAGUUGGUGGGGUAAUGGCCUACCAAGGCAACGAUCAGUAGCCGGCCUGAGAGGGUGAACGGCCACAUUGGGACUGAGACACGGCCCAAACUCCUACGGGAGGCAGCAG